AGUGAACGCUGGCGGUAGGCCUAACACAUGCAAGUCGAACGGCAGCACAGUAAGAGCUUGCUCUUACGGGUGGCGAGUGGCGGACGGGUGAGGAAUACAUCGGAAUCUACUUUUUCGUGGGGGAUAACGUAGGGAAACUUACGCUAAUACCUCAUACGACCUACGGGAGAAAGCAGUGGAUCUUCGGACCUUGCGCGAUUGAAUGAGCCGAUGUCGGAUUAUCUAGUUGGCGGGGUAAAGGCCCACCAAGGCGACGAUCCGUAGCUGGUCUGAGAGGAUGAUGGGCAACACUGAGGAUGAGACACGCUCCAGAAUCCUAGGGGAGGUCACAGCGGGGAAUAUUGGGAAAUAGGGGAAAGACUGAUGCAGCAAUAUCGGGAGAGUGAAGAAGGUCCACGGGUCGUGAAGCCCUUUUCUUGGGAAAGAAAAGAAGCCGGUUCCUACAGAGCUGUGCUGACGGUACCGAAAGAAAAAGCACAGGCUAACUUCGUG
rnacentral:rRNA from 1 species